CAGUAGCCGCGGUAAUACGGAGGGUGCAAGCGUUAAUCGGAAUUACUGGGCGUAAAGCGUGCGUAGGCGGUUCGUUAAGUCUGUUGUGAAAGCCCCGGGCUCAACCUGGGAAUGGCAAUGGAUACUGGCGAGCUAGAGUGUGUCAGAGGAUGGUGGAAUUCCCGGUGUAGCGGUGAAAUGCGCAGAGAUCGGGAGGAACAUCAGUGGCGAAGGCGGCCAUCUGGGACAACACUGACGCUGAGGCACGAAAGCGUGGGGAGCAAACAGGAUUAGAUACCCGCGUAGUCCCUGUCUCUUAUAC
rnacentral:rRNA from 1 species